rnacentral:miRNA from 1 species
UUGCCUGCCCUCUUCCUCCAG